UACAGAGGUCUCAAGCGUUGUUCGGAUUCAUUGGGCGUAAAGGGUGCGUAGGCGGCGCGGUAAGUCGGGUGUGAAAUCUCGGAGCUUAACUCCGAAACUGCAUUCGAUACUGCGGUGCUUGAGGACUGGAGAGGAGACUGGAAUUCAUGGUGUAGCAGUGAAAUGCGUAGAGAUCAUGAGGAAGACCAGUGGCGAAGGCGAGUCUCUGGACAGUUCCUGACACUGAGGAGCGAAAGCGUGGGGAGCGAACAGG
rnacentral:rRNA from 1 species